AAGUCGUAACAAGGUAACCGUAGGUGAACCUGCGGUUGGAUCAUUACUGAAAAAGAUCCGGCUUCGGCCGCGUGUCUGUCGCUUCUGCGGCGUGAUACACCAACCUCAUUGUGAACCGUUUUGUCUCUGGCGGUUGGGUGUGGUUCGGGCGUCCGCUCGUUCCAGGCCUGUCAGCUGGGCUCCGCCUCUCGGGGGGGUGGUCCAGCCGUGGACACGCCGCCAACCACUUGUUUGAACUUUUAGUACCAUGUCUUCUCUAACGACGCUUCAUUAUAAAUGACGCAAAACAACUUUUGACAACGGAUCUCUUGGCUCUC
rnacentral:misc_RNA from 1 species